rnacentral:rRNA from 1 species
UGAGGAAUAUUGGUCAAUGGGCGGAAGCCUGAACCAGCCAAGUAGCGUGCAGGAUGACGGCCCUAUGGGUUGUAAACUGCUUUUAUACAGGAAUAAAGUUAGCCACGUGUGGUUAUUUGUAGGUACUGUAUGAAUAAGGACCGGCUAAUUCCGUGCCAGCAGCCGCGGUAAUACGGAAGUUCCAGGCGUUAUCCGGAUUUAGUGGGUUGAAAGGGAGCGUAGGCCGUCGGUUAAGCGUGUUGUGAAAUGUAGAUGCUCAACAUCUGAAUUGCAGCGCGAACUGGCAGACUUGAGUGUGCGCAACGUAGGCGGAAUUCGUGGUGUAGCGGUGAAAUGCUUAGAUAUCACGAAGAACUCCGAUUGCGAAGGCAGCUUACGGGAGCACAACUGACGCUGAAGCUCGAAAGUGCGGGUAUCGAACA